AUAAAACUAUUGAAAAGAAAAUAAUUUAUAUAAAAUUAAAAAAUUAAAUUAAUUUAGAUUGUUUAAACCAAACAAAGAGAAACAGUACCCUAGAAAAUUUAGAAAUAGAGAAGAAAGUAUAAAGCUGCCGUUACCGAUUAAUAGCCGGAUCUAAAAGCCGCCACUUAAUCUCAGAUUUAUAUUACUGCUGAUUUUAAAGCCAUUUCAGCCCUCUAGCUUGUAAAAAUUAGUCAGAAAACAUGAACGGCAAUUGUCUGCCCACCGACUCCUUUUUAGGGUUAAAAAGCUCUCUGAUAAAACUGUUUUGCUAACUAGAGGUUCUUUCUCCGCUGGCUUUGAUCUUUCAAGUAAUAUUGUGCUGCAGUGCAACCCAGACUAAAGUUCCUGCUUGAGGAAAAGCUCUAAUCCCAACAGAUCUAAGCAUUGUUGUACCCAAAGGAACAUAGGCUGGUAAUGGUAUAUCUAUAACAUCCUUUCUUUUUCAUGUUCUAAUUGAUUUUGUUUUCAAUAAAAAUUAAAGCUUACAAGACUGACAUAGAAGUACUCCAUUGAUUUUGUAAAUGCAUUUUAGUUGCAACUGUUUGUUUAAAGUUAUCAAACUUGUCAGUCUCACUGCUCGGUAAUGAAGCAAAAAGAGGAAAUCCACAUCCAUUACUUAAUCUCCAGUAUAGAAAAUUAAACAACAUAGCUAUUAUUUCUGUAAUAAUGCAAAAUGCACAGCCUUAAUGUGCAUAUACUUGAGAUACCCAAUUAAACAACUCAUAAUUUGAUAAAAUAUACAAUCAGUUCAAUUCACAGGGAUCAAUCCUACAGAAUACUAAUUUUUUUCCCUAGGAAUCAAUCUUUUAGAUCAAUAUAGUUACUUGAAGUAGGCAUUACGCGUUUCCACUAGCUGGAAUGCUAUUGCCCAGCAUAAGUCUCUUCUUCCCUUGACUCGAGUUCUGCAAAACAUAGAAAGCGCAACCUAUAAGAUUUAUGCAAAAAGGCCCAGGAAUCUGAAUUAUAUUCAAUUAAGUCCAAAUCUAAAGAAUCAUGUUUAGGGAAAAGAGAAGAAAAAACUUAACUGGUGUAGUAGAAUGAAGAGGAAGUGGGUCAGUAUUGAAAGAUCUAAUAAGAGACAUUUUAGCGAUCUCAGAAACAGCAGCGUCUCUAACACCAGAAACAUCACUAACCAAAGCUUCAUAAGCAGCUUCGAAAGCCUCUCGCCAAAAACGAGGCAAUUUACUGCUACUACUGUGUGUGUAUAUAUCCCACAUAUGUUUCACCGUCUUCUCUUUCUCCUCCACUUCCUACAAACCAGCUCAACCCAAUUAAUAUGUAAAAAUUAGUUUAAUUUUUUUUUAAAAAGAAAAAACAGAUGAAAUAGUAAUAUUUAAUUACGAGGAUGUCGAGAUCUUCAUCAAGAAUUGGAGAACCAAGAUCAUCAGAGAUAUGGGAAAGAUGGCCGGUGGACCAUUUGAGAGUAACAGAGCCGGUAAACAUGGACCAAAAUGCAAGAAGGAGAAUUGCAGUAAAGACCCAGAACUUAUAUUUAAUUUUGCUAAAAGGACCAAGAUCAGAGCUAUCUUUCUUGCUUAAUGUUGUUGUUGCUGCGGUGCUUGAAGUUGAAGAUGGUAUUGAUAUAACUGUGGGAGCAUCGUCCUUCAUUUUCAGGUGCAGAAAAUUCAAAUCAGUACCAGUAGUGCCGUACUGUAAAAGAAUUUUGGGUGUAAGAAAUCGAAAAGGAUCGAGACAAGUAUUUUGGUAAAUGUGCCACUCACUGGGGGCUGGUGGUGGUGGGUAGUGUGGGUUAUUGCACUAUGGAUUACAGAAGUAUUUCAUUAUUUGUAUCGAAUUUUGUUUUCAAUUGGGGACCGACGAAGUGGGUUUUGUUACGCGCAAUUAAUGUUCCUACGUACCCUUUUUGACUAUUAUGUUUUCAUAUUUGAACUUUGUCUUUCUUUCCA